UUUGGCCUUUUCAGCUGUUUUGUAAACACUUCUGUGAUUUGUUCAUUUUUUCCUCAGAGGUUCUAGAGUUAUAUACAUAGACAUUAGACUUCAAUUUUUUGAAGUCUUAUGUCACCUUAUUAGAAGGAGUAUUUUUUGGCAGAGCAGGGGGUGCCUGUAGAUGUCCCUGUUAAUUGCAGGGGAGCUGGACUAGAUGACUUUUAAAUGUCUCUUCUAACUCAAAUUAUUCUGAUUCUAUUCCUCUGCUCUUUAUUUUAUUGAGAAAUGAUGCAUUUGGCAGUUCACAAUGUCAGAUGCUUCCAUGUCACAUGAAAACAAGCUGCUGGAUUUGGAUGCUUCCUAUUCCUGUAAAGGAUAGUUUUAAAUUACAGUUGUGGUGUGCAUUUAAUCAAUUUCCACCUAACAAACAAAGCUGUAAUUUUAAAAAAACGACAUAUUGUUAGUUGAUUCUUGUACUUACAGGACAGUUUGCUGAUUAAUUCAAUUAAAAAAAUUCAAGACACAAUUGCUACAUGGAAAUCUAAUUAGUUGCACUCAAAAAAAAAAAAAAAGGAAAAAAAAAGGGAAAAAAAAAGACAAAACUCCAAAGUGAUGUUUUGACAUCGAAAUCUUUUAAAAUCUUUGGUAGGGUAUCUUUGUAAGAGCCAGAUAAAUAGUGCUUCAGCUGACUGUCACUAUUACGUUAUUUAAAUAAAAAUAUUUUCAUAAUUCAUUUUACUUCUGGUGCACACAUUCAGUACACAAUAAAUGUUUUUCUCAAUGUCUGAGUUCCAGGUCAUCAACUUUGCAUAAGAUCAGCUACUUUAUAAUAAUUCCAACCUGCAUAUAUACCAGAGCUGUCAAAUCCAAGGCCUUUCACUGGGAAUUAUUUGUAUGAAAUAUGAAUCUUGUCACCACUGAUGUACUCAAGCAAGUCUGUUUCUUGACUAUAAGACCCCAGACUGUUGUGAUUUUAUGAUUUUUGUUAUCAAUAUUCCACAUCAUCACAUCAUGUAGUGCACUGGGAGUCUCAGAAGAAAUGCACUACAGCUCCCAAAAAACAUUGCUGUUCUGUUUCCGUUUCUCUCUUUGCUCCCUGAUGGAUCAGAGUAAGAACUUUCAGAAGUUUUCAGAAAGUCUCAUUUAAUUUCAUUUAUUAGCUCCAAACCCAAUUAACUUGUGUUUCUGCUAUUAUGAUUAGUAAAUUAAUGUUUCUCAA